rnacentral:lncRNA from 10 species
CAUAGCUUCCAAGUGAGUGUUGUGCAAACAUUUGCUAGGAUCUCUCGGGGAGCCUGUUAGAAAAGAAACUCCUGAGCCUGCUCCAGAGCUUCUGUUCAGCAGGCCUGAGGUGGGACCAUACACCUGUCUUUUCAGCAAGCCCCCCCCCACCUCUGAGGAUGCACCCCAAAGCUAGAGAAUUCCUGCUCUGAGCCAUCUCUGAAAGCACCAAGAGCCAGGGCCAGGGAAGCUGGGCUGGAGGAAGCUGUCUGGGAGCCCAGGAGGCAAGCAGAAAACCGCCAGGACCGCCCCACGCUGGGGGAGCAGCAGCUCACGGAGGAGAUGCCAGCUCACGGAGGAAAAUCUGGAAGGUGUUGAAGCAUAGACGCUGGAACAUAAAAUGACUCAUGAUCUCACUGGGAGAAGGGCUGGGAACAUCGUGGGCUCUCUUCUCCCCGCGCUCCUCUCUCCGGGUCUCUGUUUCCCUCAUUCCACGAUGUUUAGAACCAUCGGCGCACUACAUCAGACUAGAGGUCUGGGGUCACCCGACCAUCCCGCCACAAGCCCCUCCGAGGCAUCACUGUGUCCAGAUUUUGCAAACUGCACCUCCUGAAGGGGCUGGGGUCUGUCCACUUCGCCCCAUCUGCCGUGGCAGCACUUCCUCCGUGGUUCGCACCCCCACAGCAGCCUCCUGGGAAGGCACCUCCCUGGGGCCCCUCUCAGUCCACGGUGUGGAUAUGGUGAGUUCUUAAACCAUGAACUUCUGAUUUCACAGCUCUGCUUGAAGCCUUCAAUGUCAGGCUUCCUGUUGCUCUUAAGAUAAUGAUCAAAACUCUCAACAAAGUUCCCCUGAUAAAUGCUCUCAACGUGCCCCCCACCACAGCAUCCCUAACUGUAAUGAAUACAUCAUUGGUCCUCACGGCAGCGGAUUAAUCGUCUGUGAGUGUUGGUUUAAUCUUUCUCUUCUGGAGUUUAGCUGUCACUGCCAUAUCCCCAGCACGGAGCACAAUGACAUGUUUAUAUGUAGAAAAUUGAGCGAAAAAUAAAAACAGCUAACAUUUGGGUACUUAUUAUCUUCCAGGCAGCAAGCUAUGCAUUUUGCAUAUAUUAGCAAAUCCAUGAGGCAGGUGCUGUCUUCAUUGUACAGGUGAGGAGCCUGAAGCUCAGAGAGGUGAAGGAACAUCCUCAAGGCCACGCUCUGAAAUCAACAAAAGAUACAUCAGUUUAUUGUGGGAAACAUCAGAACAUGCAGAGAUAUUAACAAAGAGAAGUCACUCAGAGAUGACUGUCAUUAACAUUUUGGUGUAUUUCUUCGUAGACAUUUUCCUAUGUCUCUGCAUAGUAACAUACUGUCCAGAGUGCUUGUAAUCUGCUAGACGGUUUGAUGAGACCAAGUUUUCAUGGUAUUAGCCACGGCAAUAUUUGUAUUCAUAUUUUAGGGUAUGGCUGAACUGAAAUUUGCUUUUGCUCAACUCAGCCCCUCUUGUGAACAUUAGGCACUUUGCACUUCACCUGCUGAAAACGUGGUAGUCAUAAACACGCUGGUAGCUCAAUCGUCCCACCUAUCUUUACUAUGUUAUUCAUUCCUAGCAGUGGGGCCUGGGUCAAAAGUUCUGCAGGGUUUUAAGGCUUUGGAUCAGUGGUUCGGGAUUGUCCUCUGGGACGGGCUGAGAAGCACACAUGCCUGCCGGUGGUGACAAGCAUUCCUUCCUAGUGCAGAGUCAGGUCUGCACCUGGCACCCCCUACCCAUCCAGGUUGGGUCCCUGGCAUUCAGUUAUGUGGAACAGACCAGAAAAAUUAAAAAAGAACCCCCUCCCGCAUCUUCCCCGAAGGACCACUGGCCUGCUGUCUCUCCCCGCACUCCCCCACUGGAGUUCAUACCCACUGAAUCACGACCCCCUUGUGGCUAAGCCCUGGUGCGCCACCCUGCAAAAUCAAAGGUGGUGUCUAGGCACAGAAAUGGCUCCGUGACCUAUGUCCCCUUUGUUCUAAUCUAGAAUCCAGCCAGGAGUAUGCGUGUCAGAAGCCAGGGGUGAUUGUGUUUUUUCUCCUUCCUCUUUCUUUAGGUCAGGAAGAUUCCUGCAGCUGCUGAGUUAGUACUUUUAAGAAAGUACUGGAUUCCCUCUCACAAUGGGACUUUGAUUUUUUUAAGAAAAAGGUUUCAUAAGUUUUCAAAUAACCUGGAGCAGUUGAGCAAACUUAAUGUGCAGCGUGGUCCCUGCUGGCUGGGUUUGAGGGGCUGGGUCUCUCUGAGUGGAUGCUGGUGAGGUGCAGAGGAAGAAGAAAAGGUGCCUGAGGGCCUGUGUGGAAGGCCUGUCACACAGCACAUCCUGGGAAAUCUGUCCAGGAAGCAGCCAGGCGGGCAUCAGCCAGGCGGGCAUCAGCAUCUUCACUGUGCAGAUGAGAAACUGAGGCCGCAGAGGUGAAGGGACAUGCCCAGGAUCACUAAGGUGAUCCCUAGAAACACAGCCAGUGGCCCGGAAGCUGCACUGUUUUGUGCACCGCAGGGAUGGGCACAGAUGGGGCUGCCUGCCCUCCUCCUGGAAGGAGGGAGAACCCAGUCUGGCCUGGAGUGGUCAAGAGCUAACUCUAGACUCAGCAAGACCUACUUCUCUCUCCUGCCCCUACUUCCUUGCUGCUGACCUGGGCAAGUCGCUGAAGCCUCUCCGUGCCUCAGUCUGCUCGUGCGUAAGAUGGGCACAGGGCACACUGCCUACUUGAUUGGGCUCAACCACGUGCAGUAAGUAGCUGGUGUCUGGCAAGAGCCCUCAGGAAACAGUAACCCCAUUAAUUCAAAUGCACGUGCCUGGAACAGGCUCUGGGGGGCCAGCCCGGGAGUCCCACUCCAUGAUGGCCACCCUGGGGCCUGGCAGGCUGGGCUGGCAUCCCAGGCCCACCGGAUACUGGCUGUGCACCCCGGCCAGGCCACACAUCUCUGAGCCUCACUUUCCCGUGUGUGAGAUGAGGCUAGAAGCUGCUUUCUCUUGCGUGUGUGGGGAUUGGCGGUGACAACACGGCCAGGAGCCCAGGCCCAGCCUACGCGAGCAGCCUCGCUCCAGGCCACACGCCCCACUCCUGACAGCUCUGUGCAGCGAGUUCGUGCGCGAGCGGGUGGCUGUCUGCCAGGCGAGGGGCGCGGGUGCCCAAGAGGGCUUCACUGCUUCUGGAAAGAUCACAAGGAAAAACCACCUCCGCGGCGGGACGCUACCCGCGGGCCGCUGCGGUCCCGCUCGCGGCCGGCAGGGGGCAGGAUGUCCCCGCGAGUCGCCCGUGUCUUCGGGUGUCCUCAGGUCACCCCGCACCGCUCGCAGCCUCCGCGCCUAGUUAAAGGGCGACGCACUCAUUUCUGCAAAGAAGGAGCCCAGCGGCCCCUCCCCGGGGAACUCUUUCCAUCAACUCGGGGCCUAAUAAUUUACAUUUAAUUUGUUAGCGGUUUAAUGUUUAAUUUUAAAAGCGAGAUGAUUCAUUACCAUAUUAAUAAAUAAUAACAUUUAUUAUUCUCCUAAUGAGUGUCCAAAAUACAGAAGCAAUUACAUGUUUUAUAUAUUUUCUCGUAAUUUGAGACACCAGAGCGUUAAUUACAGAGACUCACGCGUGGACCCCAUUCUGAUCCAGGGUCCUGAUCCUGCCUUUGUUUCGGUCUCUGAACCAGCCGCCCUCCGGGGCUUCUGCAAUUCCCUCAAUUAGAGGAGAGGAAGUCGUACGUGACGAAGCUGGGGCUCUCACAGAACCCCGGCGCCCCAGACCCAGGAGCUGCAAGACCUCAGCUCCCCGUGCCCACACUCGGAGACCCAGGCCCCUCCCAGUCCCCCGUCUCCUCUGUGCAGGGUUCUUCAGGAAGAAUCGGAAAGAGGCCCCCCGACCCACAACCAGCCUCGCAUUCCCUCCUCCCGCAGGGAUCCAUUGAGCUGGGGGGUGGGACUAUCCUCACUUCACAGAUGGGGAAACUGAGUCCUGGAGAGAGACGCUCCGGUGUCCUCAGCUGGUGAGGGGCAGAUCCGGGAGCCACGUCCCACGCAGUCGGUUGGCCCCAAGCUUGGUUCCUGCCUCAACCCCAGCGCAGGUUGCAGCAGGCCCGCGUAGGAGGGCGGCCUGGGUCUGGACAGAUCCACAGCCGGCCAACGCCCCUGGCUAGCUCUCUAUGGCUUUGCUUCUUCUCUUGACUUGCCAAGUUCUUCUUGUUCAUUGUAGAAAAUGUGGAAGGUGAGGCCGGGAGCGGUGGCUCACGCCUGUAAUCCUAGCACUUUGGGAGGCCGAGGCGGGCAGAUUGCCUGAGCUCAGGAGUUCGAGACCAGCCUGGGCAACAUGGUGAAACACGUCUCUACUAAAAAAAAAAAAAAAAAAAAAAAAAAAAUUUGCUGGGCGUGACGGCAGGCGCCUGUAGUCCCAGUGGGAGUUUGGGGAGGCUGAGGCAGGAGAAUCACUUGAACCCGGGAAGCAGAGAUUGCAGUGAGCCGAGAUCGUGCCACUGCACUCCAAUCUAGCGACAGAGCAAGACUCCGUCUCAAAAAAAAAAAAAAAAAAAAAAGUGGAAGGUGAAAAAAACACGGAGAGACAGCAAAGCUGGCAAUGACAUAGCUCCAAAAAUCCCACUUCUCAGAUAAGAUGCAGGCAGUAAGGGCCUGGAGUUUUAUGUAUCCUGAUGUUUGAAAGGGCUUGGACAGGGCACUUCCUCCCUCCAUAGCUCUUCUGUCCUUAGGAAUCCCUCCCUUCUGGAGGGGAAGGGUGGGGGUUUUCCUGUUUGGUCCCCAGGGAAGGAAGUUCAGAGACAGAGGCCCACUCAGGGCCACCCCCUGGCCUGCACCCCUGAAAUGCAAUUUGGAUAAUAUGGAAAAUUACUAGGAAGAAAAAACGCUAUAAUCCCCCCACCUAGAGAUAACCAGGCGUUCUGGUAUAUACCUAUUGAGGACUUUUUUCCCAAGCAAAUACUCAGAAAGAGACUUCCUCCCAAUAGGCAUGAGAUCUUACUCCACGUGCAGUUUGUCUUAUCUUGAUUUUUUUCCAGUAAUCUUUUAAGAGUUUCCCAUGCCAUGUAGUCAUUCUUCAAAAACCCACUUUGAACAGCUGCGUAAUAUUCCGCUGUGGAGGAGUGCCCUGCAGUGUAGAGAAAUGAGUUAUUUACGCUGAAGUCUGUUAUUACAUGGACAUCUUCCCUUUUCUGACCCUGCAAUGACCACACUCAUAGGUGAGUCUCUCUGGAAAUCCUUGACUACCUCCUUAGGGUCCAUUCUUAGAAGUGGAAUUACUGGGUUAGAGGGCAUGAGUGCCUUGAGGGCGGCUGUCUCCCUCUACCUGCAUGCCUGCCAGGGCAAACCCGUGCAUGCUCCCAGGACAGGCCUGGCAGGGCGUGUCUCCCUGCUGCACCCUUGGUACCCUUGGCAGGGCUAACAUUAUCCUCUAAACCAGGUCUUUGCAGCACUUACCCUUUUCAAGGUGCUACUGUACCUCUCCUUUAAGGAG